rnacentral:rRNA from 1 species
UACGUAGGGGCCUAGCGUUGUCCGGAUUUAUUGGGCGUAAAGGGUGCGUAGGCGGCGCGGUAAGUCGGGUGUGAAAUCUCGGAGCUUAACUCCGAAACUGCAUUCGAUACUGCCGUGCUUGAGGACUGGAGAGGAGACUGGAAUUUACGGUGUAGCGGUGAAAUGCGUAGAUAUCGUAAGGAAGACCAGUGGCGAAGGCGGGUCUCUGGACAGUUCCUGACGCUGAGGCACGAAGGCCAGGGGAGCAAACGGG